rnacentral:lncRNA from 1 species
CUCAAGACCAUUGCUUUAUGUGAUUACAUGCAUUUUCUAGUUCCUAUUUAGCUAAUUUACCAAGAAUCCACUUUACAAAAGAAAUCUAACUAAUGGAUUAUUUUUCUCAAGUGUAUUAUUUUUUUCCUGGACAGUGCCAUUUUAAUUUUAGUUGAACAAGCUUUUAAGGGAUUGAGUGAUACUAGGAUGAUACUAAAAUCAAUUGAUUUGAUAAAUUUG